AGUAAAAUUCUUUCUAUUUGGCUGUUCAAAUUGUAGCCAGGAUACCCGUUAUUAUCUAAUCUCUCACUUGUUGAUAUUGCACCCGGCGAUAACAGGGCAGCUGUUUGCUAGAGACCUAUAAAAUCUUCUCAUUAAGCGAUUUUGCUUGCUAUAAAAGAUUAUUUGUUAUACAAAUGCCCCCGAAUUUGAAUUCAAAAUAUUUUGAGAAUCAACUAUGUUUUUAAUACAAAUUCUUCCUUUAGCACAUCAACAUAACCUAAAAAUAUCCACCGAAAACACUUUCAAGACUCCACAACAACUCGCAGACUCUUUCUGCAUUUGCCCCACCAAAUUUCAUCAAUACAAUAACAAGUUCCUCCUUAUCAACAUAAAAAUAUCAUAAAUAUAACAUCUUAAUUCCAUUUCUCCCUUCUCUAACAAUAAUACAACAUUUUCAAAUCUGCUGCUCAGCACUGAUACCAACUUACUUUCCACACAACAACAUUUGAUUCUUACUCAAUAAAUUUCUUUCUAAAUACCUUCGAGUAACAUUUCUGGGCUCAUACUUCAUUUACAACUUUUAGGUCUCUUAUUCUAAUUAUAUUCUCUAGAUACAGGUACAAUUUUUCAUUUGCUAUCCUUGGUUCUGGCUUCAUAUGGUAACUGGUUUCAUUUGAGGUUUUUUGGUAACAAUGUAUAAGUAACAAUAAUAAUAAUAUAAAACAUCAAAAUAAAUAUAUAUAACAUUAACUGAUACAAUAAAUAACAUAAAUAGUUUUGGGAACAUUCACUUUAUAUCGACAUGCGUUUAACAGGGCGCUUUAUACUGACAUGUGUUUAAUAGGGCUCUAUGCUUUUGAUUUGGUGGGCAUUGGCUAGUCUACACUUCCUUCAUAUCAUACAUCACAAUUUCUAGAUUUCUACUUUCUAUUGGUUCAAAGUCAACCUAACUUCUGUAAUUUUCACAUUUAAAGGCAUCUAUCGGUUUGAGCGAAUUAAAAAUCGAAUUUGGUGACAUGAGGGCGACACUCAAAUAUUAAAUUUAUUCAGUCAGGAAAGCAGCAAUAAACUCAUCCAACGAUGAAAAUUCGUGAUGAUGGGUCUGGAAAAACAUCAGAGGUUCACCGCUCAACAAACUGGUUAAUCAGAGUCGCCACAUAUUCCAAGAGGAUUCAUGGUGGUGACUGGAGAUAUCUGGGUAGCGGACUUCAUCGCACCCCCCUCAGCAUCUACUACCGCUACUUCCGCCAUCGACAGUGUGUCUGCUACCUCACUUUGCACGGAUGAAGAGAGACUCAUUUUAAAAGGAUAAUGUGUCAAAAAAUUUGAAAAAGUGAAAAUUUGGCUAACAAGGCCUUUACAGUGGCCUUGACAACAAGAUAGAAUUCACAAAAGUGAAGUGCUCAAAAAGUUUUCCUAUCAAGGAUAUUACAAGCCAGGUAUUUAUCAAUUUGAAUUUUAUUUAUUGUAGCCUAUAAUAUUUUCAAAAUGGCUUAUAUUUAAAUUAUUAGUGACUUGAUAAAAUCCACCAGUUUAGGCCCAUAAAAUUUCUAAAAUACAGUUUCAAAUAAUAAUGUAAUUUUAUAAAAAUAAUUUCUUCUAAGCUUAAAGCUAUUGAUUCCCAAAAAUAGUUUUUCCACUAACUUGCUUGUGGUCCUAAGUAAAUUCUCAUUGCCUAUCAUCCAUUCACAACAAAUCUCAAUCUGUAUUGACUUGUCUAUAAUUAUCAGCGAUAUACAGCCUUGAUUUACUCUCAAUAAUGAUUUUAUGAGCUCUGUUCUCAUCACCAGUCCCACAUUGAAUGCGACAUUGUGUCAAUGGCGCAUCCAUGGCCCCACAUUGGGCACCAUUGUGUCACAUUAUUUCUGUCAAUAACGAGUUGCCCUGCUUGGCUGCAGUCGGUAGAGCAUGAAUAAUAGAAUAUAUAACCCUUAUUGUGGCUCUCAGGAUAAUAAUAAUACCAAUUUCUUAUUGGCUUGCCCAGGAGCUCCUGCAGUUCUCUGCUCUUGCCGGUUACUGACAUCGGCUGCUCCAACAGUUCACAUUUUCUGUGACUGAUUUGUCGAAUUCUGCAAAUACAGAUGCGAGGAUUUGUUCUGCUACAACUUAAUGCUAAAACUUUGAGAUUCUUCAAAUCGUAUUUAAUGAUACUGGAUAAUUUAUAUAAAUCUCUGGAACAUAUUAUUUCCAAAGAUUUGAUAAUCAAUGCUGUAUAUUGCUGUCUUAACCAACCUAUUCGGUGAAUAAUAUAGUCAGAUGGUAAUCUUACUAAUAUUUCAAUACUGGUAACUAAAAAGAUUAUAACGAGAUUGGUCAUGCAUGGAGAUAGGAAAACAAAUAAAGGAUACACCAUA